rnacentral:tRNA from 1 species
GGUUCGGUGGUGUAGUUGGUUAAUCACAACAGUCUAACAAACUGUGCAGUUCACUGUGCAAUGUUCCACUGUAGGUCCUCAGUUCGAGCCUGGGCCGAAUCA